UUAAACGUGUUUCUAUGCCCUGUUUUAUAAUUAUCUGUUUUUAUUUUAUUUUUAUGUACAGUGUCCUUGAGUGACCUGAAAGGCGCUUAUAAAUAAAAUGUAUUAUUAUUAUUAUUAUCAUUAUCCCCGAUCACACCAUUCGUGCCCUGGGUCACAUCGCAGUGGCUCUGAGAGACACUCCUAAAGUCAUGGAGCACAUCCUUCAGAUCCUUCAACAGAAGUUCUGCCAGCCUCCCUCACAGCUGGACGUUCUCAUCAUCGACCAGCUGGGCUGCAUGGUCAUCACAGGAAAUGUACGUACACAAAGUUACAGUUGGUUGUUGCAUUGGUGUGGAGGAAUCGUUAGCCAUCACUGCCUUUUUUUUAUCAUUUAAGUAUUUAAAAGAUAAACUAUUAAAUCAGCUGGAGAGAAAUUACAUUUAAUUAGAUGUGAGCAGCCACAUUUUUGCUCCAUAAAUAGCAGCAAAGUAAACUGUUUCUGUUCCAUCCAGAGCAGCUGUAAUUAGUCUAAGCCUCCUGACUGCACCGCAUUUACUUGCUCAUUACACAUUCACACUUACAAUCAAUUUAAAGUGAGAAAAAUAUCAAUGCUGUGACAUCAUUGAUGACUCUAUUUUCUAUAGGCCUCAAGCAGUGCUAGAAAUCUGGGUGUCCUGAUCCCAGUCAUUGCUGUGUUGACCAGACUUCCGCCAACCAAAGAGGCUAAGCCUCGCCUCCAGAAGCUGUUCAGGGACUUCUGGUUGUACUCUGUGGUCAUGGGCUUUGCAGAAGAAGGAUCAGGCGGAGCUGAGUGAGCUGAGGGUGACAAUCAGCAAUCUCCUGAACCCUCCUCCUGAAGGAUCUGCCCUCAUUAACAAGCUGGACUUCGCCAUGUCCACCUAUCUGCUGUCAGUCUACAGAUUAGAAUACAUGAGGCAGGAUGCAGUGCAUUAUUUGUGUUGGUGAUAAAGUUGUUGAUGUUUUCCUCUAAAUGAUGGCUGAAAAGCCAAAGAGCACGAGGAAGAACUGGAGCGGCAUGCCCAGUUUCUGUUGAUCAACUUUAAUCAUAUGCAUAAGAGGAUCAGAAGAGUGGCAGACAAAUACCUCUCUGGUUCGGCUGAGACUUCCCACAUCUGCGGUGGAGUGGCUGUGUCCUGAAGACAAUGUUGAAUAUUUUACAGACACUGCUGAUAUUCACAAAGAUCAGCCGUACUAUGAUAUUCCAGACACUCCCUACAGAAUCACCGUUCCUGACACUUACGAAGCCCGAGAGAGUAUAGUCAAAGAUUUUGCUGCUCGUUGUGGUGAGAUCCUGAAAGAGGCAAUGAAAUGCUCCUUCAGUCACAAAGUCCCACCUACAGGAAUACCUAAACAAACACCAUAAACUGGGUGUCAGGACUGCCCCAGCACACUGGCCUGGCUAUGGCUUGUGGAUGAAAUGUAUUCAUGUGUUUGUAUUUUAUAGAAGUAUGCAACAUAUAUAUUCAUGUUUUAAAAAGAUCAUAAGAGAUGUGCUAAAACAUAUAACCAGCUUGAACAUA